rnacentral:rRNA from 1 species
UACCAGCACCCCGAGUGGUCGGGACGAUUAUUGGGCCUAAAGCAUCCGUAGCCGGUCCUACAAGUCUUCCGUUAAAUCCACCUGCUUAACAGAUGGGCUGCGGAAGAUACUAUAGGGCUAGGAGGCGGGAGAGGCAAGCGGUACUCAGUGGGUAGGGGUAAAAUCCUCUGAUCCAUUGAAGACCACCAGUGGCGAAGGCGGCUCACUGGCCCGAUACUGACGCUGAGGCACGAAAGCGUGGGGAGCAAACAGG